GACGAACGCUGGCGGCGUGCCUAAUACAUGCAAGUUGAGCGCUGAAGGUUGGUACUUGUACCAACUGGAUGAGCAGCGAACGGGUGAGUAACGCGUGGGGAAUCUGCCUUUGAGCGGGGGACAACAUUUGGAAACGAUUGCUAAUACCGCAUAAAAACUUUAAACACAAGUUUUAAGUUUGAAAGAUGCAAUUGCAUCACUCAAAGAUGAUCCCGCGUUGUAUUAGCUAGUUGGUGAGGUAAAGGCUCACCAAGGCGAUGAUACAUAGCCGACCUGAGAGGGUGAUCGGCCACAUUGGGACUGAGACACGGCCCAAACUCCUACGGGAGGCAGCAGUAGGGAAGCUUCGGCAAUGGACGAAAGUCUGACCGAGCAACGCCGCGUGAGUGAAGAAGGUUUUCGGAUCGUAAAACUCUGUUGGUAGAGAAGAACGUUGGUGAGAGUGGAAAGCUCAUCAAGUGACGGUAACUACCCAGAAAGGGACGGCUAACUACGUG
rnacentral:rRNA from 1 species